GCCACCUGCACGGCCACCUGCACGGCCACCUGCACGGCCGCCCUCCCGCUCGCUCCGGGCAGCCUCUGUCCCUAGGGGGUCGGGGCGGCCGAGGAGGUAAUCGGGCCAGACCCUGGGAGACAGGAGUGCCGAGUGCCCUGAAUCCCGACUCUGACAACCACAGAACAGGUUGGCGUGGGCAGGACAACCCGGAGGGGCCUGACGCGACCGCAGGGGCCCAGCGCAAGGGGAAUAGUUUCAAGCGGCCCCGAAGCUUAAUGCGGAGCAACCUCGGGAGGAGGUUUCUAAUGCGAUUUCCGACUCCGGGAGUCGCGUGUCCAAAGUAAGGGAGGAAAUGCUCCUGUGCUGUGCGGCUCCCAUCUCGGCCUGGCAUCCUGUCUAGUUCCCAACACGCUGGAUUUUUUGGAGGGUGGUGAUCGGGAGGUCAAGGGCCUAGAGAUGCUCCAGAAGCACAGUAGAAGGACCUUGGGAAAAGAUAAACCAGAGCCACGACAGCUUUCUUCAAAUAUUUGUCCCGUAAAAGAUGGAGCUAACGUCCAUCAGCUCUCAAGUACAAAUUAGGACCAAUAAACAGAAGCCAAGAAACAGUGGAUUUCAGCUUAAGAGAGGGUGGCUUUAUUUUCAAGCCACCUAAAUAAUAGUGGCUCCUCGUCACCCAGGCCCGCAGGGAUACAGGGGGGGUCACCUGCCUGGGGGGACGGACCACACGACCCAUGGUCCUUUCCCUGUCUGCCUCUUGGGUGCGCGCAAAACCUUCCCAGACGAAAUCGUGCCGUCAACGGAAGGUGUUUCUGGACCUCCAGAGGGUGAACCUCAAGAACUCAACGGCCCAACAUGCUUACAGCGAACCGCCUCGCACACGGCCCGGACUCAAGCAUCAGAGGCAAAGCGGGGCCCACCAGGCUCCUGAGUGAUAGAGCUCUCCCCUCUGGGCAAAUAGAAUUUAUCCCAGGACGCAUGUGUCUAAGUCCAUAAAGUGACAAACCUGUUACUGGGUUCGUCCAGAAGGGGUCCCGGAAAUAAGACGUGGCCUAGGAAAGACUCCGAAACAGACGCAGGACGAGUGAGUGAAACCUCUGUGACUCUUCUUCCUCGUGACAUAAACGAGUUCCAACUUUAGACAGACAUUCACUGGGCAGAUUUGAGCAAGGAGUGGAAAGUAUACUGGACUGGAAGCCAAAAGGGUUGGGUUUUCGCCCCGUCUCUGUCGGUCAGGAGACCUUGGCCCAAGCAGGUGUGCUUCCCGGGCGCCUGCCCCACCAGCUGCCGGCCCGGUGAUCCCUGAGGCCUCUUAUCUCUGAGCCCAAGAUGCACAGUUGAUAACUUUGUACAUGUGAAAUCCUGGAUGAAGACACUUAAUGUUCACAUUGAGUCCGCAUGUCCUUGGACAAGUCAUUUCACCUAAAGCGUAGGCAACCCCGGUUUCCCUUGGAAUGAAACGUGUUCAACUUCCAUUGCACACGCGGCCCUGUUCCGUGGUGCUCAGCGGGAGCCAGCAGAGGUCCACUAGUCGGGGCUUCGGAAAAGACUAGAGAUUUCCUCGUAAAAACUUACCGGUCACAUGCUUUGGGCCCUUCCCCCUCUUCCGGCCUGAAAUGUGGUCGUGACCCCUGGACGUGCAAAAGCAUCCUCAUGAGCUCAGGCAGGCCAGCAUGGAAGACUGGGUUUGGGUUUUUUUUUUUUUUUGGUUGUUUUUAAGAUUUAAUUUGUAAGUAAUCUCUGUGCUCACCGCGAGGCUCCAACUUACAACCCAGCCAAGAUCAAGAGUCGCACACUCUACCCACUGAGCCCCAAAAGACUGGGUCCUUGGCGACGCUCUUGAGCGGCUCCCUCAGCGCAGGGCUGCUUCUACGUCUCAUUCCUGGAAACCAUACACCCCUACUUGUAGACACGCGCCCCUUACAUGCAGCCUAAUGCAGUCCUGACUCGUCAAAUACUCGUAAGCAACUGCUUCCCGGUAAAUCCCCGUUAUUUACACCAAACUGUGAAUUUUGCCCCAUGGCCUCCAGAGCAUCCUACGUCCUGAGAGGUGGUGGCCUAUGUAACCACCGCAGCUCACUGGCACCGUAGAGGACCCUCCUCUGGUAUCUUCCUCUCUGCUUCUUUCUCGCAAACGCGUGGCUUAGUGUCGGAAUCAUCAUCAACGCCCCCAACAACGGCAAGACCAACAGGCGGGGAGCAUCAGCCCCACUCCUUAAGCAACUUGGGAUUGACGGACUGACUUCCAGCAGCGCUGCUUGAUGUAGACACAUUUUCCCGGGCGACGGGCACGAGGGAGGGCACAUGACGACAUAUAACACUGGGUGUUACUCUAUGUGUUGGCAAAUUGAGUCCAAAAUUUUAAAAGUUUAUUAAUAAAAAAAAUUUAAAAAUAAAAUCUUUCAAUAUUGUUGAACAUGAAAAAAAAAAAGAGAAAACAGAGCAUUAAUUCAAAGUUUCUU